rnacentral:rRNA from 2 species
UAUAAAAAUAAUUUUAAUUAUUUUUUAAUAAAUAAAAUUAUAUAAAAAAAUUUAAAUUUAAUUUUAAAAAUAUAAAUAAAAUUUAAUUAUUGAAAAAGAAAUAUUAAAAUAAUUUAAAAGUAAUUUUUACCUAAUGUACCUUUUGUAUCAGGAUAAAUUAAAAAAUUUAAAUUAAAUUUAACUCUCGAAAAAUAAAGAAUUAAAAUUAAUUUAAUUAUUAUUAAAAAAAUAAAAUAUUAGUUAAUUUUAGAUUUUAAAUAAAUUUCAAAUUUUUAAUAUCUAGUUAUUAAAUAAAUAAAUUUAAUUUAUAAUUAUUUAAACUUAAAAUUAAAUUAUUAUUAAUAAUUAAAAAAAUUAAAAGAUAAGUUUUAAUUUCUAAUAUAAUUUAAAUUAAAAUUUUUAAUAAAAUAAAUUUAAAAAUAAUUAAUUUUAAAAUAUAUUAUAAUUUAAUAAAUAAAAAAAACAUUUAAAAUAAAAUUUAUAAUUUAAUAUUUAAUUAAAAUAAAAAAUAAAAAAUUAUUUAAAAUAAUGAUUUAAUUAAUAUAUAAAAAAAAUUAAUUUAAAAGAAUUAAGCAAAUUUUAUUUUUAACUGUUUAACAAAAACAUAGUUUAAAGUUUAAAUUUUAAAUAACUUCUGCUCAAUGAAAUUUAAAUAGCUGCAGUAUCCUAACUGUACUAAGGUAGCAUAAUAAUUAGUUUUUUAAUUAAAAAAUAGUAUGAAAGAAAAAAUAAAAAAUUAACUUUUUAUAAUUAAAAAAUAUAAUUUAUUAUUUAAGUAAAAAAACUUAAAUUUAAUAAAAAGACGAGAAGACCCUUUAGAAUUUAAUUAUUUUUAAUUAAUUAAUUUUAUUAAAAAUAAUUUAAUUGGGGAGAUUAUAUAAUUUUUUUAACUUAUAUUUAAAUAAACAUAAAUUAAUGAAAUUAAAUAAUCCAUAAUAAUGAAAAAAAAAUAAAUUACCUAAGGGAUAACAGCAUAAAAAUUUUUAAAAGAUCUUAUUAACAAAAUUUAUUAUGACCUCGAUGUUGAAUUAAGAAUAACUUAUAAAGUAGAUUUUAUAAUAUUUAAGUCUGUUCGACUUUUAAUUUCUUACAUGAUUUGAGUUCAAACCGGCGUAAGCCAGGUUGGUUUCUAUCUUUUAUUAAUUAAUUUUAUUAUAGUACGAAAGGAUUUAAUAAAAUAAUUAAAUU